rnacentral:rRNA from 1 species
AGUGAACGCUGGCGGCGCGCUUAACACAUGCCAGUCAAACGAGAACGGGUUAUAGCUUGCUAUAAUCGUCAGCUAAGUGCAGCCUGGGUGCGUAAUGUAUAGGUAAUAUGCCUCUUACUAAGGGAUAACAAAUGGAAACGUUUGCUAAUACCUUAUACUCCUUAUUAAUAUAAGUUAAUAAGUGAAAGAUUUAUUGGUAAGAGAUUAGCCUGUAUUGUAUCAGUUAGUGGGUGGGGUAAUGGCAUACCAAGACUAAGACACAUAACUGGUUUGAGAGGAUAAUCAGUCACGAUGGAACUGAGACACGGUCCAGACUCCUACGGGAGGCAGCAGUGGGGAAUAUUGCACAAUGGACGAAAGUCUGAUGCAGCAACGCCGCGUGGAGGAUGACACAUUUCGGUGCGUAAACUCCUUUUAUAUGAGAAGAUAAUGACGGUAUUAUAUGAAUAAGCACCGGCUAACUCCGUGCCAGCCGCCGCGGUAA